rnacentral:rRNA from 1 species
CCUACGGGUGGCAGCAGUGGGGAAUAUUGCACAAUGGGGGAAACCCUGAUGCAGCGAAGCCGCGUGAGUGAAGACGUACUUAGUUACGUAAAGCUCUAUCAGCAGGGAAGAAAAUGACGGUACCUGAGUAAGAAGCCCCGGCUAACUACGAGCCAGCAGCCGCGGCAAUACGUAGGGGGCCAGCGUUAUCCGGAUUUACUGGGUGUAAAGGGAGCGUAGACGGUGCGCCAAGUCUGGAGUGAAAUGCCGCAGCUUAACUGCGGAACUGCUUUGGAAACUGGCGAACUAGAGUGCGGGAGGGGUAAGCGGAAUUCGUGGUGUAGCGGUGAAAUGCGUAGAUAUCAGGAGGAACACCGAUGGCGAAGGCGGCUUACUGGACCGUAACUGACGUUGAUGCUCGAAAGCGUGGGGAGCAAACAGGAUUAGAUACCCGGGUAGUC